rnacentral:lncRNA from 1 species
UCCGCUGCUGCCCCGUGAAGACGUGCCUUCCGCCAUGAUUGGCACAGAAACGCUCUUCAGACCAUACUCCUACUGCCAGGGGAUGGAGAAGGCAUGGUGUCAGCAAUUCAAGACUGUUUUUCCUACCUCUUCAGUGUCUCUUUCGGCAAAAUGAAGUGAAAAUCAGGAACAAGAUGUCUCCAGAGUUAAAUACAUGAAUUAAAUGCAAUUUCAAUGGAUGUCCCAAUGUUUUAAAUUGAAUAACAUGACUUUAAAGAAGAUAUGGGAAACUUCAACUCCCAGAAAAAUGAAGUAGAUACAUACUUCUCUAUUCCUUCCACUAAGUACAACUGAAAACCGUGACACUAUAUAUAAAACAAACAUAAGAAGACUCUGAAAGGCAAGAAUGGGUUUUCUUUUGCCUCCUUUAUUCCAGACUUGUAACUGAAGAAGCCAUCAACCAAGAAAUUUCCAACAGACCCAGAUGGAAAAAGUCCCAGUGAAAGCCUGUUCUUUAGCCAAAGGGGCCAGAAAAGAGCAAGAUAGCAGGACAAGAGUGUCAUUGAGGAGAAUUUGCCUAGGAGAUGCAAAGAGAGAGAAGCCUAUACUUUGAGGGUGGAAGCCCCUCCAACAGAUCUCUGCCAUCAUGUGAGAGAGAGCCUGAGUUAGCCUGCUGGAUGGUCAAAGAUGAGUGGUGCAGCUAAGUGAAAGCCUGCUGACUUGUAGACAUAUGAGUAAGGCCAUGCUUGAUCACCUGGCUGCCAGCUGGCCUGCCAACUAAUUGCAGGUACUUGAAAGAGUCCAGCAGAGAUCAGCCACCCCAGGUCAAAUAAACACCCAGCCCCCUCCCUGAGAAUGAUGAACUAAAUAAAUGUCUUAAGUACUAAGUUUUGGGUGUUUGCUACAUAGCAAAAGCUAAUUGAUACUGUUCCCAAGGAGUGGAAAACUUCUGUAACAAAAAACAAAAAAUUCUGGCAUUGGUUUUGGGAUUGGGCAAUGGGUAGAGGCUAGAAAAAUGGCAAGGAAGCUGCCAUAGCAACCUAGAAAAAUGGCAACCCAUGCUAUAAAAUAGGGCAAUUGGUCAAUAAUUUUUGAAGUGGUUUGUUAUGCAGCAAUAGCCUACUGAUACACCAUGUGAAUUAUAGCAAGGAAUAGCUAAGGCAAAACAAAACAUUGGAUGAGUAGCAUAGUUCAUUCUAAAGAACCACUAAGGCUUGCUCAGGAAUAUGUACUAAUUCAGGUGGCAUCUGUUAACUAUCACUGAGCAUAAUAUUGGAGGAUAAAUCUGCUUUGCUUAUUGCCACCCCCGUAGCUUAGAAGCUACUCCUAAAACAGCAAGGAUGUCACUGUGGCAGUGGGCAAGGAUUAAUUCCCUCAUUUAUUUAUUCAUUUAUUAAUUCAACAAA